AUUCCCCUAGUAACGGCGAGUGAAGAGGGAAGAGCCCAAGAUUGAAAGCUGGCGUCUUCGGCGUCCGCAUUGUAAUCUCAAGAAGUGUUUUCCGCUUCGGACCAUGCCUAAGUCCCCUGGAAAGGGGCAUCAUAGAGGGUGAUAAUCCCGUACAUGGCAUGGAGCGCCCGAAGCUUUGUGAUACGCUUUCUAAGAGUCGAGUUGUUUGGGAAUGCAGCUCMAAAUGGGUGGUAAAUGCCAUCUAAGGCUAAAUAUUGGGGAGAGACCGAUAGCGAACAAGUACAGUGAUGGAAAGAUGAAAAGAACUUUGAAAAGAGAGUUAAACAGUACGUGAAAUUGCCAAAAGGGAAGGGUAGGAGGUCAGAGAUGCGUCUUGGGAUUCAGCCYUGCUUCUGCUUGGUGUUUUUCCCAAGUGUGCAGGCCAACGUCGGUUUUGGGCACUGGAGAAGGGUGGAAGGAACGUGGUACCUCUCGGGGUGUGUUAUAGCCUUCUACUGGAUACAGCGACCGAGACCGAGGACAGCAGCGUACUCGCAAGAGCGGGCCUUCGGGCACCUUUACGCUUAGGGCGUUGGCAUAAUGGCCCUCUACCACCCGUCUUGAAACACGGACCAAGGAGUCUAACAUGUAUGCGAGUCUUUGGGUGGCAAACCCAUAGGCGCAAUGAAAGUGAAUUCAGGUGGGAUCCGCAAGGUGCACCAUCGACCGAUCCUCACGUCUUUUAAGUCGUGGAUUUGAGUAAGAGCAUACCUGUUGGGACCCGAAAGAUGGUGAACUAUGCCUGAAUAGGGUGAAGCCAGAGGAAACUCUGGUGGAGGCUCGUAGCGGUUCUGACGUGCAAAUCGAUCGUCAAAUUUGGGUAUAGGGGCGAAAGACUAAUCGAACCAUUAUAGAGAAUGGCUAGGUGGUUAAGAGGGUGCUAAAAGGGCAACCCUAGUGGGCGCUGAGGCUCGCGACACUGUCAAAAUGCGGGGACACCCUAAAGCUUUCAAUACCAAGCCGGCGUGGAAACACAGUCGGUGGCCGAGUUAAUGACCCUGGGUAUGGUAAAAACUUGAAAGAUGGAACAAUGGGCGAUCCGCAGCCAAGCUCUAAGGGUCGCAAGAUCUAUGAGUGCAGUUCACAGACUAGAUGGCAGUGGGUUCCGAAUGAAAAUUGGGGCUUAAGAUAUAGUCGGUCCUCUCUCGAAAGGGAGCCGGGGGAUGAAAGAUCGAGGUUCUUCAGCAGCAGACCUCUUUCCGGAGCCUCUGGGGGUUGGAAAUUCAAAGAAUUAAUUUAAUUAAUUGGGCGAUUUUCAAU
rnacentral:rRNA from 1 species